rnacentral:rRNA from 1 species
GACGAACGCUGGCGGCGUGCUUAACACAUGCAAGUCGAACGGAAAGGCCCUGCUUUUGUGGGGUGCUCGAGUGGCGAACGGGUGAGUAACACGUGAGUAACCUGCCCUUGACUUUGGGAUAACUUCAGGAAACUGGGGCUAAUACCGGAUAGGAGCUCCUGCUGCAUGGUGGGGGUUGGAAAGUUUCGGCGGUUGGGGAUGGACUCGCGGCUUAUCAGCUUGUUGGUGGGGUAGUGGCUUACCAAGGCUUUGACGGGUAGCCGGCCUGCGAGGGUGACCGGCGACAUUGGGACUGAGAUACGGCCCAGACUCCUACGGGAGGCAGCAGUGGGGAAUAUUGCACAAUGGGCGGAAGCCUGAUGCAGCAACGCCGCGUGCGGGAUGACGGCCUUCGGGUUGUAAACCGCUUUCGCCUGUGACGAAGCGUGAGUGACGGUAAUGGGUAAAGAAGCACCGGCUAACUACGUG